GAUGAACGCUAGCGGCAGGCCUAACACAUGCAAGUCGAGUGAGGAGCUUUCGGGCUUCGACCGGCGUACGGGUGCGUAACGCGUAUACAAUCUGCCUUUCACACAGGGAUAGCCCGAAGAAAUUUGGAUUAAUACCUAAUGGUAUAUAGGAGUGGCAUCACCUUUAUAUUAAAGCUGAGGCGGUGAAAGAUGAGUAUGCGUUCUAUUAGCUAGUUGGAGAGGUAACGGCUCCCCAAGGCGACGAUAGAUAGGGGUUCUGAGAGGGAUAUCCCCCACACUGGUACUGAGAUACGGACCAGACUCCUACGGGAGGCAGCAGUGAGGAAUAUUGGACAAUGGUCGGAAGACUGAUCCAGCCAUGCCGCGUGCAGGAAGACGGCCUUAUGGGUUGUAAACUGCUUUUGCAGGGGAAGAAUAAGGAGUACGUGUACUUUGAUGACGGUACUCUGCGAAUAAGCAUCGGCUAACUCCGUG
rnacentral:rRNA from 1 species